GACACGGCCCAGACUCCUACGGGAGGCAGCAGUGGGGAAUAUUGCACAAUGGGCGAAAGCCUGAUGCAGCAACGCCGCGUGAGGGAUGACGGCCUUCGGGUUGUAAACCUCUUUUAGUAAGGAAGAAGAACUUCGGUUUGACGGUACUUGCAGAAAAAGCACCGGCUAACUACGUGCCAGCAGCCGCGGUAAUACGUAGGGUGCAAGCGUUGUCCGGAAUUAUUGGGCGUAAAGAGCUCGUAGGCGGUUUGUCGCGUCUGCUGUGAAAACCGGAGGCUCAACCUCCGGCCUGCAGUGGGUACGGGCAGACUAGAGUGCGGUAGGGGAGAUUGGAAUUCCUGGUGUAGCGGUGGAAUGCGCAGAUAUCAGGAGGAACACCGAUGGCGAAGGCAGAUCUCUGGGCCGUAACUGACGCUGAGGAGCGAAAGCAUGGGGAGCGAACAGGAUUAGAUACCCUGGUAGUCCAUGCCGUAAACGUUGGGAACUAGAUGUAGGGGCCAUUCCACGGUUUCUGUGUCGCAGCUAACGCAUUAAGUUCCCCGCCUGGGGAGUACGGCCGCAAGGCUAAAACUCAAAGGAAUUGACGGGGGCCCGCACAAGCGGCGGAGCAUGCGGAUUGAUUCGAUGCAACGCGAAGAACCUUACCAAGGCUUGACAUAUACCGGAAACCUGCAGAAAUGUAGGCCCCGCAAGGCUGGUAUACAGGUGGUGCAUGGUUGUCGUCAGCUCGUGUCGUGAGAUGUUGGGUUAAGUCCCGCAACGAGCGCAACCCUCGUUCUAUGUUGCCAGCACGUUAUGGUGGGAACUCAUAGGAGACUGCCGGGGUCAACUCGGAGGAAGGUGGGGAUGACGUCAAAUCAUCAUGCCCCUUAUGUCUUGGGCUUCACGCAUGCUACAAUGGCCGGUACAAAGGGCUGCAAUACCAUAAGGUGGAGCGAAUCCCAAAAAGCCGGUCUCAGUUCGGAUUGAGGUCUGCAACUCGACCUCAUGAAGUCGGAGUCGCUAGUAAUCGCAGAUCAGCAACGCUGCGGUGAAUACGUUCCCGGGCCUUGUACACACCGCCCGUCAAGUCAUGAAAGUCGGUAACACCCAACGCCGGUGGCCUAACCCGUAAGGGAGGGAGCUGUCUAAGGUGGGAUUGGUGAUUAGGACUAAAUCGGAACAAGGUAGCCGUACCGGAAGGUGCGGCUG
rnacentral:rRNA from 1 species